ncrna:unclassified sequences lysM-TM7 RNA
GCCUACCAGAACGGUCGCACGGAUGCGGAAAACUAAUCGUUUAGCAAUAUCAACUAAUUAUUAGGUCGACAAUGCAUCCUGUUCUUGUGCGAGAAGAAAGACUUAGUACGGUAGUCAGUGUUGAUGGAGACAUUGACACGGGAG